GGGUCGUCUGGCCGGACGGGCCCGACGGCCCGGGCUCGUCGUCCGGGUCGCUCGGUUCGGACCGGCUCGACGCG
rnacentral:tRNA from 1 species